CCCUUAGAUGUUCUGGGCUGCACGCGCGCUACACUGAAGCGUUCAACGAGUAUUUCACCUUGCCCGGGAGGGUUGGGUAAUCUUUUUAAAACGCUUCGUGAUGGGGAUAGAUUAUUGCAAUUAUUAAUCUUCAACGAGGAAUUCCUAGUAAGCGCGAGUCAUCAGCUCGUGCUGAUUACGUCCCUGCCCUUUGUACACACCGCCCGUCGCUCCUAUCGAUUGAGUGAUCCGGUGAAUAAUUCGGACUGCAGCAGUGCUUGGUCCUCCGGGCUUUGCAGCGGAAAGUUUAGUGAACCUUAUCACUUAGAGGAAGGAGAAGUCGUAACA
rnacentral:rRNA from 1 species